GCCGCGCCCCGGGCCUGGUGGGCGCACGACCACGCUCUCCGUUGACUCUGAUCUGAGAAAGCAAAGCGUCCGUGUCCCGCGGGAAGCGGGAAGUGUCGGUUGAGCAGGCCCUGUCUCUCAUUCUGCUGGCUGCACAGGUUGACUCCUGCACAGGCGCUUUCAGGCAGUGGAAGCCCAGUUUGCUCCCCAGGCCCUGACCUGUGAGGGGCACAUCCACCUGGAGGAAGGGAGCCUUUUCUAAGGUCCUGCAGCAAUGACCGUGGAGCAGCUCUGUCCUUGCCAGCAGUCUGGUCUUCCCUGCAGCUGGAGGUACACAGGUCUCCCCUACCUCCCUCUGGGGGACGGAAGAUGUUCCUUCUCUUUGCUGCUGGUCCAGAGGCUGAACAGGGUGAAAGGAAUUCAUCGAACAUCAUCUGCUCGUUCACCUGUUAUCUCAGAGAAGACUCAAGGCUAUAUUCCACAGUGUUUAUGGUGCCAGAAGAAUAUCCUUCAGUGAACAAGAGCAUUUGUAUAACCAGGUUAUAAAUGCAUGGGGAUGAUUCAGACUUGGUCCAGUGUCACCCCAAAUCCUAAUCUGUCUGUAUUCCCAAGGUCCCCCAAAACAAGGAGACCUGCAAAUGCUAUGGCUUCUAUUCAUACGUUCAUCCUGCUUUUAGCCUUUCUCUCAUUCCCUGCAUUAAUGUUCCCUUUUCU